AUGAACGCUAGCUACAGGCUUAACACAUGCAAGUCGAGGGGCAGCAUGGUCUUAGCUUGCUAAGGCCGAUGGCGACCGGCGCACGGGUGAGUAACACGUAUCCAACCUGCCGUCUACUCUUGGACAGCCUUCUGAAAGGAAGAUUAAUACAAGAUGGCAUCAUGAGUUCACAUGUUCACAUGAUUAAAGGUAUUCCGGUAGACGAUGGGGAUGCGUUCCAUUAGAUAGUAGGCGGGGUAACGGCCCACCUAGUCUUCGAUGGAUAGGGGUUCUGAGAGGAAGGUCCCCCACAUUGGAACUGAGACACGGUCCAAACUCCUACGGGAGGCAGCAGUGAGGAAUAUUGGUCAAUGGGCGCAGGCCUGAACCAGCCAAGUAGCGUGAAGGAUGACUGCCCUAUGGGUUGUAAACUUCUUUUAUAAAGGAAUAAAGUCGGGUAUGUAUACCCGUUUGCAUGUACUUUAUGAAUAAGGAUCGGCUAACUCCGUGCCAGCAGCCGCGGUAAUACGGAGGAUCCGAGCGUUAUCCGGAUUUAUUGGGUUUAAAGGGAGCGUAGAUGGAUGUUUAAGUCAGUUGUGAAAGUUUGCGGCUCAACCGUAAAAUUGCAGUUGAUACUGGAUAUCUUGAGUGCAGUUGAGGCAGGCGGAAUUCGUGGUGUAGCGGUGAAAUGCUUAGAUAUCACGAAGAACUCCGAUUGCGAAGGCAGCCUGCUAAGCUGCAACUGACAUUGAGGCUCGAAAGUGUGGGUAUCAAACAGGAUUAGAUACCCUGGUAGUCCAUGCCGUAAACGAUGAUUACUAGGUGUUGGAGGAUUGACCCCUUCAGUGCCGCAGUUAACACAAUAAGUAAUCCACCUGGGGAGUACGACCGCAAGGUUGAAACUCAAAGGAAUUGACGGGGGCCCGCACAAGCAGUGGAGUAUGUGGUUUAAUUCGAAGCAACGCGAAGAACCUUACCAGGUCUUGACAUCCCGAUGACCGGUUCAGAGAUGAGCCUUUUCUUCGGAACAUCGGAGACAGGUGGUGCAUGGUUGUCGUCAGCUCGUGCCGUGAGGUGUCGGCUUAAGUGCCAUAACGAGCGCAACCCUUGUUGUCAGUUACUAACAGGUUCCGCUGAGGACUCUGACAAGACUGCCAUCGUAAGAUGUGAGGAAGGUGGGGAUGACGUCAAAUCAGCACGGCCCUUACGUCCGGGGCUACACACGUGUUACAAUGGGGGGUACAGAGGGCCGCUACCACGCGAGUGGAUGCCAAUCCCAAAAACCUCUCUCAGUUCGGACUGGAGUCUGCAACCCGACUCCACGAAGCUGGAUUCGCUAGUAAUCGCGCAUCAGCCACGGCGCGGUGAAUACGUUCCCGGGCCUUGUACACACCGCCCGUCAAGCCAUGGGAGCCGGGGGUACCUGAAGUGCGUAACCGCGAGGAGCGCCCUAGGGUAAAACUGGUGACUGGGGCU
rnacentral:rRNA from 1 species